UGGGGCAGAAUGAGUACACAGAACUCUGCA
rnacentral:piRNA from 1 species